GAAAAAUCCAUGUAUUUAAAUAUGUUAAUUUAGCUAAUUGGCAAAUUGUAAAAGAAGAUUAUAUUUAGAGGGAGCAAUUUGUGGAAUCAUUCUUUAAAUACAUGAAAUGUUUGUCAUCAUCAAAAAGGGGGAGAUUGUUAACAUAUAUGUUUCCAUAAUAUUGAUUUUGAUGAUAACAAACAAGAUUAAGAAUGAUUAAUCUUUUAAGCUCAAAUUAUUUAAUAUUCUUUUUAAAUAAA
rnacentral:lncRNA from 1 species